AUACUCCUAAGUUUGCUGAACUAUAUAUACAUGAUCCGGCUAAUGAGAUUACACAUAGGAUAAAUGCCUUGAAUCCCAACGAUAAACCGGUAGGAGCUGUGGAUGAGAGCAUUGUCGUUGGUCUUAGAGACAUGCUUGAUGAGUUUAACUCGCUGGUACAGACCUUUAGGGAGGCAAGCAAGCUAAUAGAGGAUCGUGGUGACGAACCCAUCGAGGAUAUUUCCAUUCGUAUUAUUGGUCCUUCAGAUGGUGAUAGUCCACAGUUUAGCUUACCUACUGCCACUGGACUUGCUGCUUUGGUUGUUAAUGACUUCACAUUAGAGAUGUCUGCACGGGAUAUUAUUGUUUCUAGCCGGUCAGAGGGUCUACAGCAGAUCUCUUCUUUGAACACGGCAUUUAUGUCUUUGCAGUACCCGUUGCUUUUCCCCUAUGGAGAGAGAGGGUUCCAAAUAGAUGUUCCACACCUGAUUGUUCCUCAGGACGUGGAUGAUGAUAUGCAUGUUGAUCCUGUAGCUGAGGCAUCUCCUUCAGAUGCUUCAAGUAGCCAGUCUCCCGGUGGUAGUAGGAAUAGAAUGACAAUGCAGGAUUAUUACCGCUUUAUGUGUCAUUACAAAGGUGAUCAGCCCAAUCCAUAUUUGUGCUAUGGUCUUCUAUCCUCUCAGUCGGUCGUUGAUGCACGUGCAUGCAUCGACGAGAACAGGUUGUGGUAUAUACUCAGAAAUCAGGAUAUGCUUAGGUCCGAGCACAUGCAAGGUAUUGCUGAUGCUGUCGGUGAUGGGUGUACCGAUGGUGAUGCACUAGGAAAAAGAACCAUUCUGCCUUCCAGUCACACUGGUGGUGAUCGCUACUUCAAGGAGAACUUCCAGGAUGGGCUCGCCGUGUGUCGGGUGCAUGGUCCGCCGGAUAUAUUUACCACCUUCACUUGCAACCCCAAAUGGCCUGAGAUUAUGGACGCAUUAGAGCCAGGCCAAAGGCCUUCUGAUCGGGCGGAUAUUGUUGUUAGGGUCUAUCAUAUGAAGCUUAUUGAAUAUUUAAAUGAGAUCAAGUCUGGAAAAGCUUUUGGCCCAAUUAAGGCUGUGUUAUAUACUGUCGAAUUCCAAAAACGAGGUCUGCCACACGCGCAUAUCCUCAUCUGGCGUAAAGGAGACAAAGGUGAGAUGGUGAUCACUGCCCUAGCUGCUCUUGUCCCAGGAAACAAGAAGUUGACUAUUCGUGUGUAUGUCUCAAGGCUGUGGCAGCAUCGUGGAACUACUGAUAAUGGUCCUAUCAUUCAUACUGACAUGGUGCUUGUGGAUGCUGAGGGUUCUCAUAUCUAUGCUGAGAUCUCUAAAGACUGGGAGGCAACAAUCUAGGCCCAUAUAGACACAACGAAAGGCCCGUUUCUUUGUCCAGUGCCUUAUAAAGGACGAGAAGGGCUGACCUAAUAUCCUUGGCUCCCUCCAUAGAACCUGGUGGCGCAAGAGAAGUGCCCUCUAGCACGAAGCUUCGGACAGAAAGGACCUCGCCAGGAAAGGUAAAAGCAAAUUUCCCUAUGGAUGGAGACGAGGUCUUCGACCGGGCCUCGCUUGGAUCUACAUCGUCGGUGAACAAAAUAAUCCAUCCAAAUGUUCAGAUUGGUCCAGACACUGUAAGGGUGCCAGCUAGAAUGAUGCUUAGUCUCCUGUUAGAGCGGCUUAACAUACCUGACGGCAUUUACCGUCGAAGGCAAUACUCACAUGACACUGUCAGUGUCACAGUGCUCUUCUACACCUCUCCACCGAUUAAUGGAGUCAGUCCACCACAGAUGACAAUUACCGGUGUUCGCUCUGCCAAUCAGGAAGUGGCAGAAGAUUCUGCGGCUAUGGCAGCCAUCAGGUACAUGGAAGACGCUACAAACACUGUCGUGAUCGAUCUAAACUAUGCAGGGUUCAAAAGGAUGCAGCAAGACAAUGGUUAUCUGAGACUCAGACUUAACAAGGCGUUUGAGGCGAUAGACAAGCUUUCUAAAGGCUGCUUAAUUGCUGUCAGAUACAUGUGUGCCUUCUCGGAUCAGCUUCACAAUGUUAUCGCGCAUGCCUUUCCACCUACUCGUGCUGUGGACAAAACCACCAAUGAAACCCUUAUGAACAUUGAAGUGGUGGCGAAUAAUAUGAAGGACAGAAGCCACCAUUUGGAGAAAAAACUAUACAAGGUUAAAAGACAGGCUCAGGCACGAGAGCAUGAGCCAUUCGCACCGGUCAUUCGCCGGCGAUGAUCAGAUGGUGCCAAGAACAGCUUGCUUCGACGCUGUUGAUGUUGCCACUAUGUCUUAAUUAGCUUCUGUUAGAGGGUUUACCUUUUGCAAUAGUGCCUUAUGCCUCGUGAAAACUGUUUGAUGCCUAAGCCUUUUGUACAAAUACCUACCACUGAAUGUUAUGUUGCAUCAAAAUGAUGCCCAGUUUGAAAAAUGGCAGUCCCUGUUAGCCUUGUAUGUGGUUUACUUGCUCAAAAUUCAUCUCACCAACGUUUUGUCUGCUUC